rnacentral:rRNA from 1 species
GACGAACGCUGGCGGCGUGCUUAACACAUGCAAGUCGAACGGAAAGGCCCUGCUUUUGUGGGGUGCUCGAGUGGCGAAAGGGUGAGUAACACGUGAGUAACCUGCCCUUGACUUUGGGAUAACUUCAGGAAACUGGGGCUAAUACCGGAUAGGAGCUCCUGCUGCAUGGUGGGGGUUGGAAAGUUUCGGCGGUUGGGGAUGGACUCGCGGCUUAUCAGCUUGUUGGUGGGGUAGUGGCUUACCAAGGCUUUGACGGGUAGCCGGCCUGAGAGGGUGACCGGGCACAUUGGGACUGAGAUGCGGCCCAGACUCCUACGGGAGGCAGCAGUGGGGAAUAUUGCACAAUGGGCGGAAGCCUGAUGCAGCGACGCCGCGUGCGGGAUGACGGCCUUCGGGUUGUAAACCGCUUUCGCCUGUGACGAAGCGUGAGUGACGGUAAUGGGUAAAGAAGCACCGGCUAACUACGUG